rnacentral:rRNA from 1 species
GGCGAACCGUGCGAACGUUAUUCGGAAUCACUGGGCUUAAAGCGCGUGUAGGCGGGUGGGAACGUCGGCCGCUGAAAUCCCCCGGCUCAACCGGGGAAGGGGCGCCGAAACGGCCCGCCUGGAGGGACGUAGGGGGAGCUGGAACUUCCGGUGGAGCGGUGAAAUGCGUUGAGAUCGGAAGGAACGCCCGUGGCGAAAGCGAGCUCCUGGACGUUUUCUGACGCUGAGACGCGAAAGCCAGGGGAGCGAACGGG